rnacentral:rRNA from 1 species
UACGUAGGGUGCGAGCGUUACUCGGAAUUACUGGGCGUAAAGCGUGCGCAGGCGGUUCGCUGUGUCCGAUGUGAAAGCCCCGGGCUUAACCUGGGAAUGGCAUUGGAAACUGGCGGGCUUGAGUGUGGCAGAGGGGGGUGGAAUUCCGCGUGUAGCAGUGAAAUGCGUAGAGAUGCGGAGGAACACCGAUGGCGAAGGCAGCCCCCUGGGCUAACACUGACGCUCAGGCACGAAAGCGUGGGGAGCAAACAGG